GCCGGAAUAGCUCAGCUGGGAGAGCGUUAGGCUGAAGAUCUGAAGGUCCCUGGUUGGAUCCUGGGUUUCGGCA